AGAAAGAUAAGCUAAGAAAGCUAUUAGGUUCAUACCCUAAAUAUAGACUUAAAAGUCUUCUUCCUA
rnacentral:tRNA from 1 species